CUUUCCCUUCCUCCCUCCCUUCUCUACUCCUCCUUCUAUGGCACCCUCCUCCAUUUCCUGUUUCCUUCUCUUCCUCCUUCCUGCUCACACCCAACCUUUUCCUCCUUAGCCUUGUCAUUUCCGUUCUCCUGUCCUCAUUCCCAGCCUUCCUCCAUACUAUCCUCCUCCUCCAUCUUCUUUUGUGACUCUAGUCCUCCCUCCUAUUGGCUCCUUCCUCCACCUCUCACACUUGAUCCUCUUCUUCAUUCUGCCUUUCCCUCUUUCCUUCCUUCCCUCUCUUCCUCCCUGUUCUUUUGUUUCUAAUGCCUCCUAUUUCCUAUUAGCUUCCUUCCAUGCUGUCCUGUGCCACUUGCUCCUUCUCCUGUCCUGCUUCCUCACCGACCUUUCACCACCCAUCCAAGUUCCUGUUUUCUUCUUUCAUCUCUUCUCCCCCACUUCCUGCCAUACUUCCUUCUUCUCCCUCAUCUGUCUGGUUCUUCACUGGAGUCCUCCUCCUUCCCACCUCUCCUUGUUUGCACCCACUCUGUCUUGUUCCUUGUCCCCUCCUCCUAUGUCUCCUUUUGUCUUCCUUUCUUCUUCUCCUCUUCUACAGUCUCUUCUUCCACCUUGUCCUCCCCCCUCCUCCUCAUCCCCCUCCACCUCAUGCCACUCUACAACCUUGUCCUCCACCAUCACCUCCUAGUCCCCUGCUUCACUCUUCCCUUCUUCCCUUCCCUCUCACUUCCUAUGGCACCUGCACACUCUUCUUUAUCCCUCUGUCUCCCUUUGCUCUGCACCUUACACACACUCUAAUGUCACUCCCCUACCCCCUUUUCAGGUUUUUGAGACGUGGUUUCUCCGUGUAACAGCUCUGUCCUGGAACUCAUUCUGCAGACCAAGCUGGCUUCAAACUCAGAACCCUGCCUGCCUCUGCCUCCUGAGUGCUGGGACUAAAAGCAUGCUCCACCACCCCCCUGCUCAUUUUUCCACCAUAAUAUUCCCGUUUCACAGCACCUCCCUGCCUUGUCCUGACUCUCCCUCUGGACCCUUCCCUCUCACCUGUGCUGGGUCCCUAGACCAAUCCCAGUCUCAAAAGACGUGGGGACAGGAUAUUCAGGCUUGAUGUCCUGAUGCAUCCCUCCACACAGUCCCAUCUGGCUCUGGGUCCCAUAAGGAAUGUGAUCAGGGUGUUUGGUACCCCCAGCUUCCCCCUCACCUCCUCUGCCUGCCUUGUCUUCCUCACUCUUUUCUCUCCUCCCACCUCCUCCCCGUCCCUAGGCUUCCCAAUCCCUGCUCUCUCUCCAUCCUCGCCCUCACUGUUCUUUCUGGAAUCUGCCUUUGCUCUGCUCCCUAUCAGCACCGCUCUCUCCUCCUCAGUUUUCUCUACAGCUCAGGUUCUCCCAACAACACUGUGACUGCAUCUCUUCCCUCCUCACUUAUAUGAGAAGGUGCACAUCUCCCUUGGCACCCCUCCCUUUCUUGUCUUUGCUUUCCAGUGUCUCCCACUCUCCCCAUCUAUCCUGUUUCAUGGUACUGAUUGCUUCUCUCCAAAGGCUCACCCCUCUGGUGUCUGUUGGGGUACUCUACUCUGCCCCUCACAUUCCUGGGGUCCUCCUGGUUUUCUUUCUUGCACUCUCCCUAUCCCUGUGUGUAUGUGUGCGAUGUGUAAGACGGAGAUCAACUUUAGGUUGCCCCAUUUAAAUAUUUUUUAGUUUGUAUGUGCAUGUGUGUUUAUGGUGUACUGUGAUAACAUGUGUGUGGAGCUAAGAAGGCAACAUCUGGUGUCUCCAAUUGUUCUCCACCUUAAUUUUAUUUAUUUAUAGGUGUUUUUGGCUUUUUUUGGUGGUGGUGGUUUGUUCAUUCUUUGAGACAGGUUUUUCUGUGUAGCCUGACUGUCCUGGAACUCACUCUGUAGACAAGGCUGGCCUUGAACUCAGAGAUCCCCCUGCCUCUGCCUCCGAACUGCUGAGAUUAAAUGUGUGUGACAUCAUCACCAGGUUUUUCACCUUAGUUUUUGAGACGUCACUCAUUGAACUUAGAACUUGCUGCUUUGCUGAGGCUAGCCAGCCAGCAGACCCCGGGAGACCGCUGGUCUCUAACUCCCCAGCACCAGGGCUAAAGACACAGGUCAGGUUGCUGUGUGUGUGCUGGGACUCAAGCUCGGGUCUCCCUGCUGCCCAGCAAGCACUCUGCCAACAGACCUGUGCCCAGCCCUAUUCACUUUUCCUCCUCCUUCCUGUGUCCUUUGACUGCACUCCUUCCUCUUCUUUCCCUUCUUUUCUCCUCUGCACUCUCCCCCCACUUCCCCAGCUCUCAACCCCCAGGGCCUCUAAGUGAGCUGUUCCCAGCCCCCUACCCUGGUGCUGUGAGGUCCCCAGGUCCUGGGUGGGAAGUGGGCCACCAGUGCCCACAAAAGGCCAGAGUCCAGGUGUGGGGCAGGGUCUUUGUGACACUCCUUUCUUUUUCUGUUUGCCCUGGAUGCCGGACACUUCCUGGAGGAAUCAGACCCUGAAGGCAGGAAGCAAAGAAUCAGCUGAGAGCAGAGAGAGCUGCCCACAGACACAGCGUGCCAUCUGCCCUCUUCAGGCAUCAGCAAAGAAGGCCUCAGCUGACUUCAAUUUUCCUGUGAACACAUCGGUCUAACACCUGCAGGCCACUGAAGACCAGCAGCUGCAAGGACAGCGGCUUCUUAGACUCACCUACCGAAGGAGCAACACUUCCCAGCACAGAUCGUGUGUGCACGUGUGUAAAAGGACGGUCACCACCUGCUGGCACAGAGUGGAACUGCAACCCAGCUGUAUCAAGCAUUGAAAUUUGUCCCCAAUAAAGGACAGUUGGGGUGAGGGAAGCUGUGGAGGGAAGGAUAUGGAAAAUUCUGUUAAAAUGAACAUUUACUCCUAAUACAGAAACAUUCACGGCAA